rnacentral:rRNA from 1 species
CAAGUAGCGGAGCAUGUGGUUUAAUUCGAAGCAACGCGAAGAACCUUACCUAAGCUUGACAUCCCAAUGACAUCUCCUUAAUCGGAGAGUUCCCUUCGGGGACAUGGGUGACAGGUGGUGCAUGGUUGUCGUCAGCUCGUGUCGUGAGAUGUUGGGUUAAGUCCCGCAACGAGCGCAACCCUUGUCUUUAGUUGCCAUCAUUAAGUUGG